UACGGGGGGGGCAAGCGUUGUUCGGAAUUACUGGGCGUAAAGGGCCAGUAGGCGGCCAACUAAGUCGGAUGUGAAAUCCCCAGGCUCAACUUGGGAACUGCAUCCGAUACUGGAUGGCUUGAAUUCGGGAGAGGGAUGCAGAAUUCCAGGUGUAGCGGUGAAAUGCGUAGAUAUCGGGAGGAACAUCAGUGGCGAAGGCGGCUGCCUGGCCCAAUACUGACACUCAGGUGCGACAGCGUGGGGAGCAAACAGG
rnacentral:rRNA from 1 species